AUACGACCGCAAAAAAAUUUUGUGGUCGUAUAUUGGUAUGAUGUUGGCGUCGUCGUCGUCGUCGUCGUCGUCCGGCGUCGUCGUCGUCCAGCGUCGUCGACCGAAUACAUAUUGGUUUUCGCACUCUAACUUUAGUUUAAGUGAAUGGAUCUUUUUGAAAUUUGACCAUAAGGUUAAAUACCACAAAAGGAAGGUUGGGAUUGAUUUUGGGGGUUAUGGUACCAACAGUUAAGGAAUUAGGGGCCAAAAAGGGGCCAAAAAUGAGCAUUUUCUAGUUUCCAGACAAUAACUGUGGAACGGUGUAUGGAUCUCUCUGAAAUUAUACUACAAGUUUCCAUACCACAAAGGGAUGGUUAGGAUUUGCUUUGGGGGGUUAUGGCUCAAACCGUUUAGGAAUUAGGGGCAAAAAAGGGGGAAAAACAAGGUUGUCCUGGUUAAUGGACAAAUACUUUAGUACAAAACAUAAUUUAAAGCAGUGUAAGGGAGAUAAAUCAAAUACAUCAUUGAAAUUAUCUCCCUUACACUGCUUUUAAAUUAUGUAUAAAGUAAUGGUUAAUGAACAAUAAAGAUAAUCUAAAACAGUGUAAGGGAGGUAAUCCAAAUACAACGUUUUGGUUACUUCCCUUACACUGCUUUUAAAUUAUGUUUAAAGAAAUGCAUAUUUAUAAAGGAAGACCAGUAAAAAUAUCUGCAAAUGUUUUCAUCUUUUUUUUUUACAAAAAAAUCCAUAUGAAAGAUUUGACACUAUAUUUUUUUUAAUUCUAUUAUAAAAUAGAUUAAGUUAGCACUAUGGUAAAUUUAAAUGGGUAAUUAUGGUUGCCAACUCCAUUGGAAAUUUGAAUUGAGAUUAUGACCAUAUCUUGAGGGAAAGAAUUUUUUGGGGGAAAAAAGGGGGGGGGGGAUAAAAAGAAAUUGUGGGGGGCCAAUUUUUUCUCAUUUCAGAUUUCAGAAAUUAAAAAGAAUUAUUCUUCAAAUAUUAUUUUUUUUUCAAAUUUCAAAUAUUGAAAAAUUUCAAGAAGUAAUCUUUAAUUGCACAGUAUGGCGCAUUAGAUUUGUAAAAUCUUUGAUCACAUUUAUUUAUUUGUGAUGCCGAAUCUAACAGUGUAUUUAGAUUUUUAAUUUUGGGUCCAGUUUUCAAAUUGGUCUACAUUAAUGUCCAAAGGGUCCAAAAUUAAACUUUGUUUGAUUUUAGCAAAAAUUGAAUAUAUGAGGUUCUUUGAUAUGCUGAAUCUAAACAUGUAUUUAGAUUUUUGAUUUUUGGCCCAGUUUUCAAGUUGGUCCAAAUUGGGGUCCAAAAUUAAACUUUGUUUGAUUUUAACAAAAAUUGAAUAUAUGGGGUUCUUUGAUAUGCUGAAUCUAACCAUGUAUUUAGAUUUUUUAUUUGUGGACCCCGUUAUCUAAUUGGUUCAUAUUGAGGUCAAAAGGGUCCAAAAUUAAACUUUGUUUGAUUUCAUCUAAAAUUGAAUUAUUGGGGUUCUUUGAUAUUCCAAAUCUAACCGUGUAUUUAGGUUUUUAAUUUUGGGUCCUGUUUUUUAAAUUGGUCUACAUUGAGGUCCAAAGGGUCCAAAAUUAAACUUAGUUUGAUUUUGACAAAAAUUUAAUUCUUGGGGUUCUUUGAUUUGCUGAAUCUAAACUUGUGUUUAGAUUUUUGAUUAUGGGCCCAGUUUUCAAGUUGGUCCAAGAUAGGGUCCAGUAUUUAAACUUUGUUUGAUUUCAACAAAAAUUGAAUAUAUUGGGUUGUUUGAUAUGCUGAAUCUAAACAUGUAUUUAGAUUUUUGAUUAUGGGCCCAGUUUUCAAGUUGGUCCAAAUUGGGGUCCAAAAUUAAACUUUGUUUGAUUUCAACAAAAAUUGAAUAUAUGAGGUUCUUUGAUAUGCUGAAUCUAACCAUGUAUUUAGAUUUUUUAUUUGUAGGCCCCGCUAUCAAAUUGGUUCAUAUUGAGGUCAAAAGGGUCCAAAAUUAAACUUUGUUUGAUUUCAUCGAAAAUUGAAUUAUUGGGGUUCUUUGAUAUGCCAAAUCUAACCGUGUUUUUAGAUUUUUAAUUUGGGUUCUGUUUUUUAAAUUGGUCUUCAUUGAGGUCCAAAGGGUCCAAAAUUAAACUUAGUUUGAUUUUAACAAAAAUUGAAUUCUUGGGGUUCUUUGAUAUGCUGAAUCUAAACAUGUGUUUAGAUUUUUGAUUAUGGGCCCAGUUUUCAAGUUGGUCCAAGUUGGGGUCCAAAAUUAAACUUUUUUUAUUUCAACAAAAAUUGAAUAUAUGGGGUUCUUUGAUAUGCUGAAUCUAACCAUGUAUUUAGAUUUUUUAUUUGUAGGCCCCGCUAUCAAAUUGGUUCAUAUUGAGGUCAAAAGGGUCCAAAAUUAAACUUUGUUUGAUUUCAUCAAAAAUUGAAUUAUUGGGGUUCUUUGAUAUGCCAAAUCUAACCGUGUUUUUAGAUGUUUAAUUUGGGUCCCGUUUUUUAAAUUCUUCAUUGAGGUCCAAAGGGUCCAAAAUUAAACUUAGUUUGAUUUUAACAAAAAAUGAAUUCUUGGGGUUCUUUGAUAUGCUGAAUCUAAACAUGUGUUUAGAUUUUUGAUUAUGGGCCCAGUUUUCAAGUUGGUCCAAGUUGGGGUCCAAAAUUAAACUUUGUUUGAUUUCAACAAAAAUUGAAUAUAUGGGGUUCUUUGAUAUGCUGAAUCUAACCAUGAAUUUAGAUUUUUUAUUUGUGGGCUCCGCUAUCAAAUUGGUUCAUAUUGAGGUCAAAAGGGUCCAAAAUUAAACUUUGUUUGAUUUCAUCUAAAAUUGAAUUAUUGGGGUUCUUUGAUAUGCCAAAUCUAACCGUGUAUUUAGAUUUUUAAUUUUGGGUCCUGUUUUUUAAAUUGGUCUACAUUAAGGUCCAAAGGGUCCAAAAUUAAACUUAGUUUGAUUUUAACAAAAAAUGAAUUCUUGGGGUUCUUUGAUAUGCUGAAUCUAAACAUGUGUUUAGAUUUUUGAUUAUGGGCCCAGUUUUCAAGUUGGUCCAAGUUGGGGUCCAAAAUUAAACUUUGUUUGAUUUCAACAAAAAUUGAAUAUAUGGGGUUCUUUGAUAUGCUGAAUCUAACCAUGAAUUUAGAUUUUUUAUGUGUGGGCUCCGCUAUCAAAUUGGUUCAUAUUGAGGUCAAAAGGGUCCAAAAUUAAACUUUGUUUGAUUUCAUCUAAAAUUGAAUUAUUGGGGUUCUUUGAUAUGCCAAAUCUAACCGUGUAUUUAGAUUUUUAAUUUUGGGUCCUGUUUUUUAAAUUGGUCUACAUUAAGGUCCAAAGGGUCCAAAAUUAAACUUAGUUUGAUUUUAACAAAAAUUGAAUUCAUGGGGUUCUUUGAUAUGCUGAAUCUAACCAUGUAUUUUGAUUUUGGACAUUGGACCAUAAUAGGUAAAUUAAAAAAAUUCAAGUUCUUAGACCACAUUCUUUCUGUGUCAGAAACCUAUGCUGUGUCAAAUAUUUAAUAACAAUCCAAAUUCAGAGCUGUAUCAAGCUUGAAUGUUGAGUCCAUACUUGCCCCAACUGUUCAGGGUUCGACCUCUGCGGUCGUAUCAAGCUGCGCCCCAGCGAAGCAUUUUAUUUUCUUUAAAA